rnacentral:rRNA from 1 species
UAGGGAAUUUUCCACAAUGGACGAAAGUCUGAUGGAGCAACGCCGCGUGAACGAUGAAGGUCUUCGGAUUGUAAAGUUCUGUUGUCAGGGACGAAUAAGUACCGUUCGAACAAGGGCGGUACCUUGAG